GCGCUCGUAGCUCAAUUGGAUAGAGUAUCGGUCUACGGAACCGAUGGUUGCAGGUUCGAGUCCUGCCGAGCGCG
rnacentral:tRNA from 2 species